CUGGAGGAUCGCAGGGGUGGCCUGG
rnacentral:miRNA from 1 species